rnacentral:rRNA from 1 species
UACAGAGGGGGCAAGCGUUGUCCGGAAUUACUGGGCGUAAAGGGCGCGUAGGCGGCCUGCUAAGUCGAACGUGAAAUCCCUGGGCUCAACCCAGGAACUGCGUCCGAUACUGGUUGGCUUGAAUCCGGGAGAGGGAUGUGGAAUUCCAGGUGUAGCGGUGAAAUGCGUAGACAUCUGGAGGAACACCGGUGGCGAAGGCGGCAUCCUGGACCGAGAUUGACGCUGAGGCGCGAAAGCCUGGGGAGCAAACGGG